rnacentral:tRNA from 1 species
ACACCGUUGGUGAAGUGGUUAUCAUGCUUGCCUUCCAUUUCUUUGUGAGCAAGCGGCUCGGGUUCGAUUCCCGAACGGUGUA